AUACGUAGGGGGCGAGCGUUGUCCGGAAUGAUUGGGCGUAAAGGGCGCGUAGGCGGCCCGGUAAGUCUGGAGUGAAAGUCCUGUUUUUAAGAUGGGAAUUGCUUUGGAUACUGUCGGGCUUGAGUGCAGGAGAGGUAAGUGGAAUUCCCAGUGUAGCGGUGAAAUGCGUAGAGAUUGGGAGGAACACCAGUGGCGAAGGCGACUUACUGGGUCGUAACGGACGCUGAGGCGCGAAAGCGGGGGGAGCGAACAGGAUUAGAUACCCUGGUAGUCCACGCGGUAAACGAUGAAUGCUAGGUGUUGCGGGUAUCGACCCCUGCAGUGCCGGAGUCAACACAAUAAGCAUUCCGCCUGGGGAGUACGGCCACAAGGUUGAAACUCAAAUGAAUUGACGGGG
rnacentral:rRNA from 1 species